ACUGUCUCUUUAGAGCGUUCUUACAUGGAAUUGUUAGAAGUUUGAUGAAUACAGGCCGAGGUCUCGGUCAAAUGCUCUGCUUUUUCCACUGGAAAUGAAAAUUAUUCUGUUCUUCCUCUUGAAUCAUCUUGCAAAUCCUGGAAGUACACUGAGUCCCAACAACGAACAAUGAGCUGACGGUUGAAGGAAGAUGCAUGAGUCAUGCAGCAUUCGUGGUCGCCGCUGGGAGGCAAUGACACACAAGAAGGCUCGCACAAUGUGCCUCCUAUGUUUUGCCAGCUGUAGCUUGUUUGCCUUCAUUAUCCCCCCACUCCCCACCUCCCCAUCCUCUUUACUACUGCCACAACUGAUCUGAGUAUGAGAUGGAGCCAAAAGACUAAUGACGCAUUCGCCAUCCAGCAGUUGAGUAAACAGGACUGAGGCUCCCUGCUGGCUGCUGCAUGCGGUGACCUGGGAAUGAAGGAGCACAGUCGUGCUGACUCGGUGAAUCUGAACACCACAGAGGCUGGCUUGUCACAGUGCCAACCAUUCGAUUUGUUUAGAGACACAAUAUGGCCAUCUUGGCCGUGUGGUGGAAAAGACUCCAGGGGAGCCAGUACUUGCCAGCCAACUUUCUCUUGUCGCUCUUUCUCUCUUAUUUUUCACUGUGAGACCACACUCAGCAGGGAGCAUUUGAAGUAGGAAAUGCGCUUUCAUGGAAGAUUCAAAGCCGUGAUCAAACACGCAGUGUUCUCUGAAAUAAUUCAACAUUUUGACACUUUCAUUGUGUCUGCUUGAUUUAUGGCUCUCAGCCUCAUAACAUAUUCAUGUUGCUUGUUUACAUGUUUUUUUUUUUAUAGUUCUCUAAAAUAUCAUGAGUUUUUAUACGCAUUAUUUUAUUUCACGCAAAAAAAGCUUCUAACAAAUAAACCUGUUAGAAUUAUAUCUGCUAUGACAAAUAAAAGCCAUUAUCACUUCCA